rnacentral:rRNA from 1 species
AGGACGAACGCUGGCGGCGUGCCUAACACAUGCAAGUCGAACGAGGUCCAACCAGUGGCAACACUGGGGAAUACCUAGUGGCGAACGGGUGAGUAACACGUGAGGAACUUGCCCCGGAGACUGGGAUAACCAUUCGAAAGGAUGGCUAAUACCGGAUAUCUCCACCGAGUCGCAUGGCUUGGUGAAGAAAUGGAUUCCGCUCCGGGAGAGCCUCGCGGCCUAUCAGCUAGUUGGUGGGGUAACGGCCCACCAAGGCAUCGACGGGUAGCUGGUCUGAGAGGACGAUCAGCCACACUGGGACUGAGACACGGCCCAGACUCCUACGGGAGGCAGCAGUGGGGAAUCUUGCGCAAUGGGCGAAAGCCUGACGCAGCAACGCCGCGUGCGGGAUGAAGGCCUUCGGGUUGUAAACCGCUUUCAGUGGGGACGAACCAAGACGGUACCCACAGAAGAAGCCCGGCCAACUACGUGCCAGCAGCCGCGGU